rnacentral:rRNA from 1 species
GAUGAACGCUGGCGGCGUGCCUAAUACAUGCAAGUCGAGCGAACAGACGAGAGUGCUUGCACUCUCUGACGUUAGCGGCGGACGGGUGAGUAACACGUGGGUAACCUACCUAUAAGACUGGGAUAACUUCGGGAAACCGGAGCUAAUACCGGAUAAUAUUUAGCUUCGCAUGAAGCAAUAGUGAAAGACGGUUCUGCUGUCACUUAUAGAUGGACCCGCGGUGUAUUAGCUAGUUGGUGAGGUAACGGCUCACCAAGGCAACGAUACAUAGCCGACCUGAGAGGGUGAUCGGUCACACUGGGACUGAGACACGGCCCAGACUCCUACGGGAGGCAGCAGUAGGGAAUCUUCCGCAAUGGACGAAAGUCUGACGGAGCAAUGCCGCGUGAGUGAAGAAGGUUUUCGGAUCGUAAAACUCUGUUGUAAGGGAAGAACAAGUACGUUAGUAACUGAACGUACCUUGACGGUACCUUACCAGAAAGCCACGGCUAACUACGU